rnacentral:rRNA from 1 species
UACGUAGGGUGCGAGCGUUAAUCGGAAUUACUGGGCGUAAAGUGUGCGCAGGCGGCCGCGCAAGUCGAGUGUGAAAGCCCCGAGCUUAACUUGGGAAUUGCGCUCGAAACUACGUGGCUGGAGUGUGGCAGAGGAAGGUGGAAUUCCAGGUGUAGCGGUGAAAUGCGCAGAUAUCAGGAAGAACACCCGUGGCGAAGGCGGCUCUCUGGGACGGUACUGACGCUGAGACGCGAAAGCGUGGGGAGCGAACAGG